AUGGGAAACCCUGUUGAUGCACCUAAACCCUAUCAAUGGAUAUGGAAAUCAUGCUCUUUACCAAAGCAGAAAUUCUUCUUCUGGCUCUUGUUACAAUACAAAUUAAACACUAGAGAUCUACUAAAAAGGAAGAAUUUCUACAUUGAGACUAGUAAGUGUGAAUUAUGUGAUGAUGAACCUAAUGAACAUUUAAUGCAUCUGUUUUUUAGCUGUGAUUUCAGUCAAAACUUCUGGAUGAACAUUGGCUACCAAUGGAACACUGAUCAUAACCUCAUAGAAAUGCUCCUGGAGGGAAGGAAGCAAGAUACACAUGGAUGCUUUAAAGAAUGUCUGAUUGCUGGAUGCUGGAGUCUAUGGAAACACAGAAAUAGCAUAAUUUUUUACAACAAGGUCAAAAAUAUGACAUUCUGUAUUGCCACUUUCAAGGAGCACUUAUGCAUGAUUAUAAAGAAGGCAAAACCAGGAUUGAAAGAGGGCAUGCAAAGCUGGCUAGAUCAUUUUAGACUCAUCAAUGUCAUGAAUUAUAUCCAUCAUGUAAAUCCAUAUGUAACUGCCCCCCUAUUUUAA
rnacentral:rRNA from 1 species